rnacentral:lncRNA from 1 species
UUAUAUAUGACUAUUUAUUCCAUCCCAUCUUAUUGCUUUUGAUGGUUCUCUUCUCAUUAGAGUCUUCUCUCUUAUUGCUCUCAUAUUUCUUUGCUUUUGCUUCCUCUCUAUUACAAGAGAGAUAUGUGGAACCUUAACGACUCACCUGAUCACCACGAAGAAUCCGACGGUAGAUGGAAACGGGCUGGAGAUGUACCAAUCUCUAUGAGAUCAUCGACCACGUGUCUGUUGUCUGUUCCUCCGGUGACCCGAAAUUUUUUUCCGAGUCAAAUCAUGGAACAGGAAGUUCCAGGAAUAUCUGGGUCCGGUAUCACUAGAAACCAAUGUCUUGUUCGGUCGGAUCCUAGCGGGUCUGGUCGUCCGGAAAACCUAGAGCUGGAGAUAACACCGCCGGUAAAAAAGAGCCGACGUGGUCCUCGUUCCCGGAGCUCUCAGUAUAGAGGAGUUACUUUUUACCGACGAACCGGAAGAUGGGAGUCACAUAUUUGGUAACUUAAUUUUCUUAACCCUACGAUAUACCGAAUACUAUUAUUGCAUAUAUGGUACAUCCAUCAAAUCCAAGUUUCAUUUCAUUCGGGCCAAUACCUUAUUGUUAUUUUUAAAAUAUGUGUUGGAAUAUUAUGCAGGGACUGCGGGAAGCAAGUGUACUUAGGUAUGAUCAUGUAAUGUUGUUCAAACACAGAUCAAAUAUCCUAUUGAAACUAAGUUGUGUUGUGUCUGUCCAUUUUUAUAUGAUUUCUUCGACCAAAUAAAGGUUUUAUUAUCUCCUUAUAUUACUUUUUGUUACAUAUUCAGGUGGAUUUGACACAGCACAUGCCGCUGCUCGGUAUGUUUUACUCAUCCAAAUAUGAUCAAUUAGAACGAAUCUAAUAUUCCUUAUUUUGUAAUUUGCUGAUAUACAAAUUAAUUUGGGUGGGUAACUGUUUGGGACAGUGCCUACGAUAGAGCCGCAGUUAAGUUUAGAGGUGUAGAUGCAGAUAUAAAUUUCAAUAUUGAAGACUAUGUGGAGGAUUUGAAACAGGUAAAAUAUUUAUUAUUUGUAGGUUCAAGCAAUUGACUUAGAUUAUUACUCGAACAUAAAACAAAUUAAUAUUUGUUGCAGAUGAGCAGUUUGACAAAGGAAGAGUUCAUGCAUGUCAUUAGAAGGCAAAGCACUGGGUUUCCAAGAGGCAGCUCUAAAUAUAGAGGUGUCACUUUGCAUAAAUGUGGAAGAUGGGAAGCUCGAUUGGGUCAAUUUCUCAACAAAAAGUAAAACUACACAAAUAAUAUGGGGUCAUUUUUUUUUUUGAAAUGUUUUGUUUUUCUUAUGGAUAUUUAAAAUUUGGUACUGUAUUGUUUGCUUUUUAUUUAUUUUCAGGUACGUUUAUUUGGGUCUCUUUGAUACCGAGAUGGAAGCUGCAAGGUACUGUUUUAUUAUUGUUCAAUGUCUCAUCAUCACGUUUCCAAAACAAUAGUAUUUAUGUUUGGGCAAAAGAAAAGCAAUAGUAUCUGUUUUGUUUAAUUUCUUCUUCGUGCUUUUUGAAUUAUAGAGCAUACGAUAAAGCAGCAAUAAAGUCUAAUGGAAAAGAUGCAGUUACCAAUUUUGACCCUAAAGUAUAUGAGGAACAGCAUAAUAGCCCAGGUAACUUGAUUUUACGUUUCCGCCUAUAAAAACUACAUAUACAUUUUUUUUACUCCAGUCACCAAAUUUUACUCACGGUAACCACAUUUUAUCACGGUAACAAUCAUCAGAGAAGCAGUGGGAUGAUCAUAACCUUGAUCUAAGUCUAGUUGAAUCAAACUCGGAAGAGUUUGGAACCAAAUCUGAGGUAAGUUAAGUUGUUCAUGUUUUUAUAAAUUUAAUGUGUGAAAAAAAGAUAAAUAGUGAUUAUGGUCUAAACUGAUACAUUUUAAAGACUGCGAGCAUGAGAAAUGGAUUUAGAGACGAGGAGAGACUAUUAGGGAGCCAUCUCUCCCUAGCGAUGACGACAACAGCGACUGUCGGAUCAGAGAAGCCAUUGGACGGUGGAGGAAAGCGAGUGGGAAUGGCGGCAUCAUCAGGAUUCUCUCCUCGCUUUCCUCCUUGGAACCACCACACUCCUCGCACCUUCCACUUCUUUCGUCCCUGAUUCACCAUCAUCAUCACAGUCACUCAUACAACAAAUGUUUUGGAGAAACUUUCCAGGAGCUAUUUUUCGGCUGUGUGGUGUGUAUGUAUUACAUAUAUGUUCUUGUGUCCAUGUAAGACUUUUCUUUCUGUAAUUUAAUCAUACAACAAAUGUUCGUGGCCCACAUCCUACAUGGUAUCCCCUGUACAUAUUGGAGACUUCUGUUUCAUCAUUUACCAUCUCAUCACAUGCGCUUAGUAACUUAGUUAGGUUUCGAGUCCGGAUCUAGAGAAUACCAUGCACACAACCCAACCGCAAUUUCAGAAAAUAUUAUACCUAAAUGGGUUUUAACGAAAAAAUGUACAUCCGAAUAAAUUUAGGUUUUCUGAGUGAAGUUGGGUUGGGUUGGGCUGGGUUGUUGACAUGGGCCACCCCUAAUAUCGGGACCAAUUCUUUUUUUUUUUUUGAGGGUCAAACAUUGAUAAUGAGAUCCACGUAUUUUUGUCCAAUAUUAUUCAACAAAAAGUAACAAAUAUGUGAUUUAAAUUUUCUAGCUAAUGGAGUGAAUAUGUUUUAUAAUUGUGAAUCACUGGACAUACAUGUGUCUUGCACUAGCUAGUUUUAUAGUUGUUUGAUAAUUCGACAUGUGUAUUGCACUAAUAGUAUAUAUUUACUAGUAUCACUAUCAAGUUGAUAAACUAAAGAUAAAGUGAUAGCGACAUACGAACCAAUCAUACAGAUUAGCCACCAGUGUUUAAAGUUUAUUGUUAUUACAGUAACAAAGCGCCAGAAAAUAAAAAAAAUAUGAAAAGCAACUCUGAGAGCCACAUAAAAGUCACAAAAACACAAUAAUGUAAGACUAUAAACAUGUUUAUAGGUCUUUUUUUCAUUUAGAAUACGUAUGGGGCUUGUAGAAAUUAACAAUGAUCACCAUAAGAACUACUAGUAGGAAAGAAACUGAGCCUCACGUAACCAAAAGACCUCCAUUAAAUUUAAACCGAUGGAAGAAGAAGAAGAUUUGGUGGUGGUGAUAUCAAGGAGCAUCGUGAUCCCCAGAAACGCCAAGAAAUCGACUUCCUCCAAGAAGAAGAUCCAUCUGCUUCCUUGGGAUCUCUCUCGCCUCCGCUUCGGUUAUCUUCAAAGAGGUCUCCUUUUCUCCAAACCUUAUCCAAAAAUCGACACAGUUCUCUCAAAGUUACAAACUUCACUCUCUCUAGCACUUGACCGUUUCUACCCUUUAGCUGGUCGUCUCGUAAAGGUACAGAACGACGACGACACUGUCUCCUUUUACAUCAACCCCGAUGGCUCAGGCGUGGAGUUCGUUCACGCCUCAGCUACAAACAUCGAGGUCAGUGAUGUCCUUAGAUUAUCUACUUCUCUCAGCUCCUUCUUCCCCGCUACUGGGGUCAAGAACUGUAACGGCGUCUCGAGAUCUCUCCUCAUGGUUCAAGUGACUGAGAUGAAAGAUGGGAUCUUUAUCGGUUUCGGUUACAACUCCACUGUAGCUGACGGAGAUUCGAUCUGGAAGUUUUUAAACGCGUGGUCUGAGAUCUGCUCCAAGGGUUUGGUUCCCGAACCUUGUCAGCGUCGUCUUCAGCUUAAAGGUUGGUUCUUUGAGGAGAUUGAGUACCCGAUUCGGAUCCCAGACCCGGAGGCAAAACCAGCUAGGGUCACAACAGCUUCGAGUGGUUUACAGGAGUUGAUGUUUCAUGUCACAAAGGAGAAUGCUUUGAAACUUGAAGCUAAAGCCAACGAUGAGAAAGUGUCGUCAUUACAAGCGGUGUUAGGACAUUUAUGGUGUUCGAUGGUUAAGCACAGUGGGAUGAGCAGAGAGGAAGAGACUCAUUGCAGGUUACCUAUAGACAUGAGGAGAAGGGUGGAUCCACCGUUGGAAGAAGACUGUUUUGGGAACGUGAGUCAGACCGGGAUAGCGAAAGUCACGGUUGGUGAGCUGAUGGAUAAUGGAUUAGGGUGGGCGGCUGGGAAGAUAAACGAUAUGGAGCGGUCGCAAACGCAUGAAAACGCGGAAGGGAAUGCGGAGAAAUGGGUGAGAGAUGUGAAGAUUCCGGUUUCGGUUGGUAGUAAAGAUUUGGUUGUGACGAGUUCUCACCGGUUUGAUGUGUAUGGAAAUGAUUUCGGUUGGGGUAAACCGGUAGCUGCGAGAGCUGGACCGCCGUAUGUGAGUGGGAGAAUGGUUGUGUUCCAAGGGGUUGAAGAAGGGAGUCUUGAUUUUCAGGCUUGCUUGCUGCCUCAAGUAGUGGAAAAGCUAUCAGAAGAUGUUGAUUUUAAAGAGUUUGUGAGCAUUGUAUUAUGAUGGUUUGAUGACUUGGUUCAACAAUUUGGAUCGAAUUUAAAAUGUGUGUGUGUGUGUGUGUGUGUUUCUUCCUUUUCUGAUUGUUUGUAAUUCAUCAACCUGGUCACAUGAAAUUCUCAGAUGGCCAUAAACAUUUUUAAAAUAAAUUUGAAUAAUUUUUCUUUAGUUUGGAAGUAGCAGCAGCUUAUGUAUACUAGAUCUUUAAAAUUUAUGAAAAACAAAUGUUUCACAGCAGCAUGUCCAUGGAUGAAAACUGAUAAUGGGCCUGCAAUUUAUGACCCAAUACGCAAUCAAACCGGCCCAAUGUAUUAGAACACGUGGUGAAUAUGUGUUUAGGUGAGAACGGGAUUUGGAUAUACACACUGUCACUCACUAGUCACUACUGUAAUCAUACUGCUCCAUCGAAUUACCUCCAGAAGCGAAGACGACAAACAAGACAUGGCAGAUGUUGUUGUGCUCUCUAAAAGCAUAGUUCGACCCGAUGGAUCGGAUUCGGAUCGGGUAAAGAUCCAUCUAACUCCAUGGGAUCUCUUCUUCCUUCGAUCAGACUACCCGCAAAGAGGUCUCCUCUUUCCAAAACCCGACCCGGAAACCGAUAUAAUCUCACAACUCAAAUCCUCUCUUUCGGUUGCGUUGAGUAUCUUCUACCCAUUCGCCGGCAGACUAGUCAAGACCGAGAACGAAAACGACGAAACGGCGUCGUUCCUCGUAGACUGCGAUGGUUCAGGCGUCAAGUUCAUCCACGCUUCAGCUAAAACCGUCUCGCUGAGUGACGUUCUAGAACCGGUCAACGGCAUCGUCCCCGAGUUCUUGAACCGUUUCUUCCCGGCUAACGGAGUCAAGAGCUGCGAAGGGGUCUCUGAGUCGUUGAUCGCGUUCCAAGUAACGGAGUUAAGAGACGGAGUCUUCAUCGCGUUCGGCUAUAACCACAUGGUCGCAGACGGAUCUUCCUUCUGGAGCUUCUUCAACACUUGGUCGGAGAUUUGCUCCACCGGAGUUGACCGGGAUAAAAAGUUCCCGCCUCUGCUUCUCCGCGGCUGGUUUCUCGACGGGAUCGAUCACCCGAUUCGAAUCCCGAUCUCGGAGACGGUGAUACCGUCUCCUCCGGUUGCUUCUUCGUCAUCGUUGCUACGAGAGAAGGUCUUUCGAUUCACGAGAAGAAACAUCUCCGAGCUCAAAUCGAAAGCAAACGGAGAAGUUAGCUUCGAUGAUCGGAGAAUCUCGUCGCUUCAGGCGGUUUCAGCGCAUAUGUGGCGAUCGAUUAUCAAAAACAGUGAUUUGAAUCCGGAGGAAGUGGUUUACUGCAAGUUACUGAUGGAUAUGAGACGGAGACUAAACCCUCCGCUUGAUAAAGAGUGUUUCGGAAACGUCGUCGGAUUCGCGACAGCGACGACAACGGCUGGAGAAAUGGUUAGUAAUGGGCUGGGUUGGGCCGCGUUGCAGAUAUUAUUACAAGAGAGAUAUGUGGAACCUUAACGACUCACCUGAUCACCACGAAGAAUCCGACGGUAGAUGGAAACGGGCUGGAGAUGUACCAAUCUCUAUGAGAUCAUCGACCACGUGUCUGUUGUCUGUUCCUCCGGUGACCCGAAAUUUUUUUCCGAAUCAAAUCAUGGAACAGGAAGUUCCA